UAUUGGCAUAUUCAUGAAGGCAAAAAGGGAGCAUGAGGACACCCAAACAAAUUUAAAUUUCAAUUUGAGUGAAUACUUUCUGUAGGUUUAGCCUGGUGCUAUUCAAAAUGCAAUGCUUCUGAAUCAGAAGUGGUAAACUUACAAGGCAGAGUGCUGGAAGUUAUCCAUGGACAUCCUGUUCUUAUUAGACAGGGGCUGAAACAUUCUGACAGCUUUCAAACCUACUGAAAUAUUAUUCAUUAAAAGUUUUGAUGUCAAUUCCAGCAUUAAUGGGAGCACAUCUUACUUAUCUCUUUGACUAUGAAAAAGAAGGAAGACAGAAGUGAUCUGAUGAAAAACAGGGUGAGAAAAGAAGCAGAGAGAGAAAAGAAAGAGACACCCUGGGAAAGCAGCAGAGAAAAGGGAAUGAAAAAAAUCCCCAUUUUUAUGCUGGACUGCCUAUGGAGCAAUGUGAAGCUGGCUCUAAGUGUUACCUCCAAAGAGAAGCAAAGCCUUGCAGCACUCCAACCUGCGAUGUCAAUGUAUCUUCUAGCCUGUGUGAACCCUUUUUUGACCAUGUAUACAGAAAAAGGAAUUCUGCUCUCAAAGCCUUCAAAACUCUGGUGCCCAUGAAUCCAUGAGGAUAAUGCUGCUGACAAAAAUCACUUCCUUUUUUUGUCCCAUUGUCUCUUUAUCCCUUUUUGAGUGACUAGUGUUAACGUCAUUGUCCACAAGUCUUCGUGCACAGGAGAUUUUAAUCUCAGCUUUCCUGCCCUGGGUAGUUGUGAGUAUGUGAACACACAGUUGUUGUCAUGUUAGAAGAUGGUGAAAUGACUUCUGCCCCAAGUAUUCUCCUGCCCUUUACUCUUUCCUGGAGUGUAUUCACAUAAAUGUUCUUUCCCACUUCCUUUAUUUAAUAAUGUAUAAGCAGUUUCAUCCUGCUAUUGAAAUUCUUUUUUGCUUAAUAAUGAAUGUGUAUCAUAUACAUUAUGCACAUUAAUAUGAUAAUGGCUAUGCAUACAUACCAGUUCUUCUUGUGAGCUAUUGUUUUACAAAAAGCAGAAAAUGAAUAAGGAUUUAUCAGGUUAUAUAAUUCUUGAUGUCUUCCUUGAGCAUUGGAACCUCCUAGUGUCAAAAUAGAAACCUGAGUGGUUAUUCUUGGAAAAUAAGGACACAGGAGUAGACCUUCUAAAAAUGCAGCAGAACACAGGGAUAGAUAUUAAUAAAAACAUAUUCUCAGUUAUAUUAAAAAACA
rnacentral:lncRNA from 14 species